rnacentral:RNase_P_RNA from 1 species
CGAGUAAGACAGGCAGCCGCGUGGCCCAGCCGAAAGGCUGGCCAUGAGGAAAGUCCGGGCUCCACAGGGCAAGGAUAACGGGUAACGCCCGCCCAGAGCGAUCUGAGGAAAAGUGCAACAGAGAUAUACCGCCCUCCUCUCCCCGCGAAAGCGUUGUUUUCCCGGGAAAACAGGUACAAUCCCCAAUAGAUUUCCCCCUUGAAAAAGGGCGUGGAUCUCCCGCAAAAGCGGAAGCCUAAGGUUCUUAAAACCUCCAUUGGUUCUCCCCUUUCAGGGAUACCGGAGCCUCCCCAGAAAGGGGGCCCGUUUUCUCCGCCAAAGGGGCCCUGGUGAAAACAAAAUUUUCGCGGGGGGAGGAGGCGCAGCGGAAUACGUUCGCGCUGCCGCUUGCGGCAGUGCGGAGGAUAUGAAGCUUGCGCCGGUGAGGGUAAGGGUGGAAAGGUGCGGUAAGAGCGCACCCGACGGCUGGGAACUGCCCGUCGCUGUAAACUCUAUCCGGAGCAACACCGGAAUGGGGGCAUGUAGGCUGGCCCGGCCGCUCCCGGGGUGGCUUGAGCGUACCGGCAACGGUACGCCUAGAUAGAUGGCUGUCAAAUACAGAACCCGGCUUAUAGUCUUGCUCGGCCU